rnacentral:rRNA from 1 species
UGAGGAAUAUUGGUCAAUGGGCGAGAGCCUGAACCAGCCAAGUCGCGUGAAGGAAGACAGUCCUAAGGAUUGUAAACUUCUUUUAUACGGGAAUAACAGGCGAUACGAGUAUUGCAUUGAAUGUACCGUAAGAAUAAGCAUCGGCUAACUCCGUGCCAGCAGCCGCGGUAAUACGGAGGAUGCGAGCGUUAUCCGGAUUUAUUGGGUUUAAAGGGUGCGUAGGUUGUUCGGUAAGUCAGCGGUGAAACCUGAGCGCUCAACGUUCAGCCUGCCGUUGAAACUGCCGGGCUUGAGUUCAGUGGCGGCAGGCGGAAUUCGUGGUGUAGCGGUGAAAUGCAUAGAUAUCACGAGGAACUCCGAUUGCGAAGGCAGCUUGCCAUACUGCGACUGACACUGAAGCACGAAGGCGUGGGUAUCAAACAGG